GUGCUUGCUUCAGCAACACAUAUACGAAAAUUGGAAUGAUACAGAGAAAAUUAGCAUGGCCCCUGCGCAAGGAUGACGUGCGAAUUCAUGAAAUAUUCCAUAUUAAA